CACACCCAGCCUGCAAGUUUGCUGUCGCUUUGCAGUGAAGAAAUUGCACCUCUGAAAAACCAAACACUCCCCCAGGGUCCCACAGUAGACGGUUAGAGCUGCGUCACGUCCUCGUGGCCUGGCCUGGCCUGGCUUCCUUACCCUCUCAGCUGAGCACAUGGAUUAGAUCACACCAAAGAGGAGACAGCUGUCUUCCUCUCUCAGACUGUGACACUGAGAAGCAGCUGAUGAGACCAGAAGUUAAAAUAACUUAGAGUCUCCCAAGAGAGUUCCAGAGCAACCUCCUCCUCACCUGGAAAUUGAUACCUCUGCAUCCUGU